rnacentral:rRNA from 1 species
AACACAUGCAAGUCGAGGGGCAGCAUUGGAGUAGCAAUACUUCAGAUGGCGACCGGCGCACGGGUGAGUAACACGUAUCCAACCUGCCGCUUACUCGGGGAUAGCCUUUCGAAAGAAAGAUUAAUACCCGAUGGUAUAAAGAGUUCGCAUGUUCUCUUUAUUAAAGAAUUUCGGUAAGCGAUGGGGAUGCGUUCCAUUAGAUUGUUGGCGGGGUAACGGCCCACCAAGUCUACGAUGGAUAGGGGUUCUGAGAGGAAGGUCCCCCACAUUGGAACUGAGACACGGUCCAAACUCCUACGGGAGGCAGCAGUGAGGAAUAUUGGUCAAUGGACGAGAGUCUGAACCAGCCAAGUAGCGUGAAGGAUGACUGCCCUAUGGGUUGUAAACUUCUUUUAUAAGGGAAUAAAGUGAGGGACGUGUCCCUUUUUGUAUGUACCUUAUGAAUAAGGAUCGGCUAACUCCGUGCCAGCAGCCGCGGUAAUACGGAGGAUCCAAGCGUUAUCCGGAUUUAUUGGGUUUAAAGGGAGCGUAGGUUGACAUAUAAGUCAGCUGUGAAAGUUUACGGCUCAACCGUGAAAUUGCAGUUGAUACUGUAUGUCUUGAGUGUACAAGAGGUGGGCGGAAUUCGUGGUGUAGCGGUGAAAUGCUUAGAUAU